UGGUGACAAUGGCAAGGAGGUCACACCUGUUCCCAUGCCGAACACAGAAGUUAAGCUCCUUAGCGCCGAUGGUAGUCGGACUAACGUUCCGCUAGAGUAGGACGUUGCCAGGCA
rnacentral:rRNA from 8 species